rnacentral:lncRNA from 1 species
GUGUUGCGACAUUUUCUGGAGAGCGGGGUUCAAACGGAGAAAAGGAAGUGUUGAGGCAUUUUCUGGAGAUCGGGGUUCAAAUGGAGAAAGGGAAAUGUUGCAGUGUUUUCUGGAGAAUGGGGUUCACACUGGUGAUCGCAAGUUAUCGUCAGGCGACUGGGGUUCAAAUGGAGAAUGGGGUUCAUUAUUUUGGCAAACAAGGUGUCGGGGUUCAAAUGCAGUGAUCCGGGAUCAUUUGCGCGAAAGAAAGUUUCGGGGUUCAAGAAAAUGAAAAAAAAAAGAUAAGAAUUUUCGGGGUUCAAGAAAAAAAAAGGAGGAUAAUCCCCAGCGGAUGUGGUGUUCAGGCCAUGGUUAUCCCUGCGUUACCAUUUAUUUUGGUAUCCAGGUCGAUGUUGCUGUUUCGGU